rnacentral:rRNA from 1 species
AUUGAACGCUGGCGGCAUGCUUUACACAUGCAAGUCGAACGGCAGCGCGGGCUUCGGCCUGGCGGCGAGCGGCGAACGGGUGAGUAAUACAUCGGAACGUGCCCAGGAGUGGGGGAUAGCUCGGCGAAAGCCGGAUUAAUACCGCAUACGACCUGAGGGUGAAAGCGGGGGAUCUUCGGACCUCGCGCUAUUGGAGCGGCCGAUGGCAGAUUAGCUAGUUGGUGGGGUAAAGGCCUACCAAGGCGACGAUCUGUAGCUGGUCUGAGAGGACGACCAGCCACACUGGGACUGAGACACGGCCCAGACUCCUACGGGAGGCAGCAGUGGGGAAUUUUGGACAAUGGGCGAAAGCCUGAUCCAGCAAUGCCGCGUGUGUGAUGAAGGCCUUCGGGUUGUAAAGCACUUUUGGCGGGAACGAAAAGGACUGUGCCAAUACCACGGUUCGAUGACGGUACCCGCAGAAUAAGCACCGGCUAACUACGUG